UUGACACGGAAUGCUCCUCCUCUUCCUCCUUUUCUAUUUGGUUUAUUUCUUUAGUCUGGAUUAGGUUUCACUCGGUCUCUGUUACAGCCCGACAUCAACUUCAAAGCACAAAAGAUUCCAACUGUUUCCUCCUCCGCCGGCAUUCUUUUCGGUUUAGUAUCACGGACAGUAGUUCUGUUUGGUGCUAUCGGGUCGGCAUCGUUUUCGCAACUCUUCGUUUCUGGAGAAUAGAUGGAAAUGUUUCUGCCGAAAGUAAGGCGGAAAAGCAGCAGGCCUGUGCACUUAAGAGCUCCACGGAGAGCCGUUAAAUAUCAUGUGCUGCUCCCUUCCAUCGUGUGUGAUGGGAUCUGCCGGACUCGUAUAGUUGUCGACUCACACCUCGUCAAAGUAGGGUCAAAUGCUUUCGCAGAAGGACUGGUUUACGUCUCCUCUGUGUCGGAACCAUUCAAACCGGGAUUCAAACUGGGAUGGUGUGGAUGGAAAUACACCUCCCAACUGUACUGUACACAAACACCAACUUUCUGGAGGUUCAGAUACUUUUCUUCUCAAAGCAACGGGAUGAUUCUACAUUCCUCGAUCUCUACUUACGAGAAAGGCAUCCUGCGCUCUCACCACGUUGUGCCCACCCGGGACAGCAACGGUACACCGUCUGGUGCUGCAUGCUGUGGAUUUGCCGGUUGUCCAAAUAAUACACCAUCCUGAUGUAUAAAAAAAAGGGAAAUCAAAACUGGAAUCUACGGAACAUUUCGAUCCAAAGCAAAAACAUGUCGAGAGACACAUCUGGGAAAGCAAUAGCCGGCCGUUAGACAGCAAAAUCAGUUCCCAAACUGGCCCAAACCCAUCUGGAUCGCAUGCUGACAGUGUCAACCGGGCUCCGUAAAAAGCUCCAAACAUUUACUGUUUUCCCAUCGGCUUUCAAAAUGCGCAAGCAAACAUGAGUGAAUUGGCAGACGGCAUGACAUCAUACACACACGGCUGUUACAUAGAUGGGUUCAGAACAAGACCUUGCUUGCAUGUGUUGUUGUGAGUUUUCCGGGCUGUCUGACCAUGUUCCAGAAGCAUUCCCUCCUGAUUUUUCGCCCACACCUAUGCUAUGUAAAUGCUAUGUAAAUAAAGUUCAAGCCGCUGUUUAUAGCUGAACA